rnacentral:rRNA from 1 species
GGUCAAGUGAAGAAGCGCAUACGGUGGAUGCCUUGGCAGUCAGAGGCGAUGAAAGACGUGGUAGCCUGCGAAAAGCUUCGGGGAGUCGGCAAACAGACUUUGAUCCGGAGAUCUCUGAAUGGGGGAACCCACCUAGGAUAACCUAGGUAUCUUGUACUGAAUCCAUAGGUGCAAGAGGCGAACCAGGGGAACUGAAACAUCUAAGUACCCUGAGGAAAAGAAAUCAACCGAGAUUCCCUUAGUAGUGGCGAGCGAACGGGGAUUAGCCCUUAAGCUUCAUUGAUUUUAGCGGAACGCUCUGGAAAGUGCGGCCAUAGUGGGUGAUAGCCCCGUACGCGAAAGGAUCUUUGAAGUGAAAUCGAGUAGGACGGAGCACGAGAAACUUUGUCUGAACAUGGGGGGACCAUCCUCCAAGGCUAAAUACUACUGACUGACCGAUAGUGAACCAGUACCGUGAGGGAAAGGCGAAAAGAACCCCGGAGAGGGGAGUGAAAUAGAACCUGAAACCGUAUGCGUACAAGCAGUGGGAGCCUACUUGUUAGGUGACUGCGUACCUUUUGUAUAAUGGGUCAGCGACUUAUAUUCAGUGGCAAGCUUAACCGUAUAGGGUAGGCGUAGCGAAAGCGAGUCUUAAUAGGGCGUUUAGUCGCUGGGUAUAGACCCGAAACCGGGCGAUCUAUCCAUGAGCAGGUUGAAGGUUAGGUAACACUGACUGGAGGACCGAACCCACUCCCGUUGAAAAGGUAGGGGAUGACUUGUGGAUCGGAGUGAAAGGCUAAUCAAGCUCGGAGAUAGCUGGUUCUCCUCGAAAGCUAUUUAGGUAGCGCCUCAUGUAUCACUCUGGGGGGUAGAGCACUGUUUCGGCUAGGGGGUCAUCCCGACUUACCAAACCGAUGCAAACUCCGAAUACCCAGAAGUGCCGAGCAUGGGAGACACACGGCGGGUGCUAACGUCCGUCGUGAAAAGGGAAACAACCCAGACCGCCAGCUAAGGUCCCAAAGUUGUGGUUAAGUGGUAAACGAUGUGGGAAGGCUUAGACAGCUAGGAGGUUGGCUUAGAAGCAGCCACCCUUUAAAGAAAGCGUAAUAGCUCACUAGUCGAGUCGGCCUGCGCGGAAGAUGUAACGGGGCUCAAACCACACACCGAAGCUGCGGGUGUCACGUAAGUGACGCGGUAGAGGAGCGUUCUGUAAGCCUGUGAAGGUGAGUUGAGAAGCUUGCUGGAGGUAUCAGAAGUGCGAAUGCUGACAUGAGUAACGACAAUGGGUGUGAAAAACACCCACGCCGAAAGACCAAGGGUUCCUGCGCAACGUUAAUCGACGCAGGGUUAGUCGGUUCCUAAGGCGAGGCUGAAAAGCGUAGUCGAUGGGAAACAGGUUAAUAUUCCUGUACUUCUGGUUACUGCGAUGGAGGGACGGAGAAGGCUAGGCCAGCUUGGCGUUGGUUGUCCAAGUUUAAGGUGGUAGGCUGAAAUCUUAGGUAAAUCCGGGGUUUCAAGGCCGAGAGCUGAUGACGAGUCGUCUUUUAGAUGACGAAGUGGUUGAUGCCAUGCUUCCAAGAAAAGCUUCUAAGCUUCAGGUAACCAGGAACCGUACCCCAAACCGACACAGGUGGUCGGGUAGAGAAUACCAAGGCGCUUGAGAGAACUCGGGUGAAGGAACUAGGCAAAAUGGCACCGUAACUUCGGGAGAAGGUGCGCCGGCUAGGGUGAAGGAUUUACUCCGUAAGCUCUGGCUGGUCGAAGAUACCAGGCCGCUGCGACUGUUUAUUAAAAACACAGCACUCUGCAAACACGAAAGUGGACGUAUAGGGUGUGACGCCUGCCCGGUGCCGGAAGGUUAAUUGAUGGGGUUAGCGCAAGCGAAGCUCUUGAUCGAAGCCCCGGUAAACGGCGGCCGUAACUAUAACGGUCCUAAGGUAGCGAAAUUCCUUGUCGGGUAAGUUCCGACCUGCACGAAUGGCGUAACGAUGGCGGCGCUGUCUCCACCCGAGACUCAGUGAAAUUGAAAUCGCUGUGAAGAUGCAGUGUAUCCGCGGCUAGACGGAAAGACCCCGUGAACCUUUACUGUAGCUUUGCACUGGACUUUGAGCCUGCUUGUGUAGGAUAGGUGGGAGGCUUUGAAGCGUGGACGCCAGUUCGCGUGGAGCCAUCCUUGAAAUACCACCCUGGCAUGCUUGAGGUUCUAACUCUGGUCCGUAAUCCGGAUCGAGGACAGUGUAUGGUGGGCAGUUUGACUGGGGCGGUCUCCUCCUAAAGAGUAACGGAGGAGUACGAAGGUGCGCUC